UACGAAGGGGGCGAGCGUUGUUCGGAAUCACUGGGCGUAAAGGGCGCGUAGGCGGCCCUCCUAGUCGCGUGUGAAAGCCCCGGGCUUAACUUGGGAAUUGCGCUCGAAACUACGUGGCUGGAGUGUGGCAGAGGAAGGUGGAAUUCCAGGUGUAGCGGUGAAAUGCGUAGAGAUCUGGAGGAACACCGAUGGCGAAGGCAGCCUUCUGGGCCAACACUGACGCUCAUGCACGAAAGCGUGGGGAGCAAACAGG
rnacentral:rRNA from 1 species